rnacentral:rRNA from 1 species
CCUACGGGAGGCAGCAGUGGGGAAUAUUGGACAAUGGGGGGAACCCUGAUCCAGCCAUGCCGCGUGUGUGAAGAAGGCCCUCGGGUUGUAAAGCACUUUCAGUGAGGAAGAACGCCUGGUGGUUAAUACCCAUCAGGAAAGACAUCACUCACAGAAGAAGCACCGGCUAACUCCGUGCCAGCAGCCGCGGUAAUACGGAGGGUGCGAGCGUUAAUCGGAAUUACUGGGCGUAAAGCGCGCGUAGGUGGCUUGAUAAGCCGGUUGUGAAAGCCCCGGGCUCAACCUGGGAACGGCAUCCGGAACUGUCAAGCUAGAGUGCAGGAGAGGAAGGUAGAAUUCCCGGUGUAGCGGUGAAAUGCGUAGAGAUCGGGAGGAAUACCAGUGGCGAAGGCGGCCUUCUGGACUGACACUGACACUGAGGUGCGAAAGCGUGGGUAGCAAACAGGAUUAGAUACCCUAGUAGUC